GGGGCUGUUUGGAUUUGACAGCGGGUAGAAGCGGUGUGUAAGCAUGCAGAGCGUCAUAAGUUUGCUCUAUAAUCUCAGCUUGUAAAAAAUUAAUUGGCGAAGAAAAUUACGCUCUCGCUGCAUAAGUUGAAGUUCAGUAAACUUGCUUAAUUCCGGUACAAGGUAUCGGAACGAGACAUCGCCGGGAAGCUGUUGUCCCGAAGCGUUCCCAUAAGGCGGUGCAGAUAAAUCGGGGAUAGUCCGACGCUUGUUCCGUGCGCAGGAUGAAAAUUAAGGAACUAAGGUGUACGAUUGGAGGCUUCUGUCCGGCGGACACCCUACAACCAAGCAGAAGAUAAGCAUGUAGAAAGCAUAUUGGUUCCUCGUAUGGACGAGGGUUCAACUCCCUCCAGCUCCACCA
rnacentral:tmRNA from 2 species